CUGUUUUACAUUGGUUUUAAUCCAAGGGAUAUUUUGAUAUGUCUAUAGACAUUUUUAGUUCUCACAGCUGGUAAGAGGGCUGCUACUAGCAUCUAAUUGGGUUAGAAACUAAGUAUUCCGUCAAACAUUCUAAAAUGCAUAUGAUAGUCUCCACAACAGAGAAUUAUCAGGUCCCAAAUGUAAGUAGUGCCAAGAUUCUGAAACCUUGUUUUAAAUAUUUAGCAAACAUUAAUUCUUUUAACCUUUAUAGCAACCCUGUGAAAGCUCGUAUUGCAAGUGAGGAAUGUGACUUGCCCAAAGUCAGGUAUCUAAGAGAAAGUGUAGGUGAAAGGACAACAGGAUGCUAUUAUGGAAAUGCAGGCAUUAAAGACAGGAGUUAUUACAUUAAAACUAGUCUAAGUAAAAUUGAAGAUAAAAUUAUUUUCAGAGAGACUGAGUCUUUUUAAUGGAAAUGUAUAAUUUAUGAUGGAAAUAUUUUAGUUAUGAAACUUUAAACGGUAAUAAUAACAUGAAGCAAAACAAAUAUGUAAAUAACAAUUGAAAUGCAAUAGUUUUUUAAAAAUGUCUUAAUGGGAGGGGGGAUAGUAGAGGAUAGGAAAGGUAGCAGAACAUGACAGUCACAAGUAUGGCAAUAUGUAAAUCAAUGGAUGUGUAAUUGAUGUGAUUCUGCAAUCUGUAUAUGGGCUAAAAAUGGGAGUUCAUAACCCACUUGAAGCAAAGUGUGAAAGAUGAUAUAUCAAGAACUAUGUAAUGUUUUGAACAACCAACAAUAAAAAAAAAUAAAAAUAAAAAUGUCUUAAUGAAGUAUAACCAACAUACAAUAAAUUGCACUAACUUCAAGUGUAGAAGUGAUAAAUUUUGAUAUGUCUAUACCUAUGUGAUUAUUGCCACAGUCAAGAUAAUCAAUAUGUCCAUGCCUCCAGAAGAGUCUUCAUACAUAUUUAUAAUUCCUCCUUCUAUUAAGCCUCCUGUCCUUCUUGGUCAACCUACUGCACUAUAGAUGACUUUGCAUUUUCUGAAGUUUUUACAUGAUGAAAUUAUAUGUAUAUAUGCACUCUUUGUUUUGCUUAUCUCCCUUCACACCCAUAUUUUGUAAGUCAUCCAUGUUGCAAGUGUCAAUAAUUCAUUCCUUUUUAUUGCUAAGUAGUGUUCCAUCAUAUAGAUAUACCACAAUUUGUUUAUCCAUUCCCCUUUUGGUGGAUAUUUGGGUUGUUUCCAGUUAGAGACUAUUUAUAAAUAAAGAUGCUACAUACAUUCAUGAAUAAAUCUUUGUAUGGACAUAUAAUUUUGUUUCUUUUGGUAAAAUACCUAGGAAUUAAAGGGCUGGGUCAUAU
rnacentral:lncRNA from 1 species